AUUUAGCUGAUGAGUCUCAACUAGGACGAAACGCGCAACCUAGAU
rnacentral:hammerhead_ribozyme from 1 species